rnacentral:lncRNA from 1 species
CUUUGGUCUAAUUCAUAUUGCCUUGCUGUUAAAAAAUGCCAUGCCAGCUUACACAAAUGGAUUGAUUUUAUUGAACAUUUGUGUUAAACUCCACUUACAACCAUUUUGUUUUAUCAUGGCUGACAGUUUAAAAAGAUGGAUAAAGCAGGAGUACCUGUAGAGAACCUUGUCCUUCAACAAUCCUAGUCAAUUAAGAUAAAGAGUCGAAUACACUUGCCAUAAACAGGGUUCAAAAUCACAACCACAGUGUUGGCAUGUUAUUGUUCUCUGUAGAUAGACCUGUUGACCUAAAGCCCCUAAAUGACACUGAAAGAAUCUAUAUUUGGUAAAGACAUGUUAUCAGAAAGCAGAGUUAUAAUUUACCUAUUUGGAAAUAGCAAAAAAAAAAAAAAAAAAAAAUAAAAAAAAACAGCUUAACAACUAUCACAUACAAUAUGAUCUUAAUCCUCAGCAGGCAGUGAAACUUAAAAUGGUAGCUUUGCAUUUUUGAUUUUUGAAAAUUUAAUUUUCUAGUUUAAAAACCUUUUAUCUGGCUAAAUACCAUGGUAGAGUUUAAGUUCGUCCUGAGACUAUGUGUUAAAGUGUUCUUAGGUUCAACUAAUUUGGUUGAUGAAGUUAUUUUUUCUCAGUUUUCAGCUUUCUUGUACAGUAAUUAUGCUAUCAUAAUUUUUAAACAUUGUUAUCUUUCAAAUGGUCUUCAUUUUUUAAAUCUUAAAAAACACAAAAGGUCACACAACAUUAAUCCCCUACUCGUCUUCAUUAUAUUCCUGCUUCUUGUCUGCUUCUCCAGGCCAUUGAUUGUCUUUUUUCUCGCACAUAUUUCAGCAAAUACAAAUUUUGGCCUCUUGAUAUUAGGCUUCGACUUGUAUCUAGUAAAAACUAAAAUAGCAAAACACUGAACUCCGAGAAAAUUCAAAUGGCGAAAUCAAAAGCUGAAAUAUAUCAAACAAACGGAAAACAAAUGAAUUAUUCGAAAUACCAGGAACAUAUAUAUUGAUAGAUAUACUUUUCUAAGGAAAUACUAAGGACUCUUAUCCCAGGCAUAGAUUACCUUAGCCGUAUUUGGCAC